GGUGAACGCUGGCGGCGUGCUUGACACAUGCAAGUCGAACGGUAUGUGGCAACACAUAGAGUGGCGCACGGGUGAGUAACGCGUGGGUAAUCUGCCCUUGGGCGGGGGAUAACCUCUCGAAAGGGGGGCUAAUACCGCAUGAGACCACGGCUUUUCGGGGCUGUGGGAAAAGGUGGGUCGCAAGGCCUGCCACCUGAGGAUGAGCCCGNGUACCAUUAGGUUGUUGGUGGGGUAAUGGCCUACCAAGCCGAAGAUGGUUAGCUGGUCUGAGAGGACGAUCAGCCACACUGGGACUGAGACACGGCCCAGACUCCUACGGGAGGCAGCAGUGGGGAAUAUUGCGCAAUGGGGGAAACCCUGACGCAGCAACGCCGCGUGUGUGAAGAAGG
rnacentral:rRNA from 1 species